rnacentral:rRNA from 1 species
GGACUACACGGGUAUCUAAUCCCGUUCGCUCCCCUGGCUUUCGUGUCUCAGCGUCAGCACACCCCCAGCUGCCUGUUUUCACCGUUGGCGUUCCAAAUGAUAUCUACGCAUUUCACCGCUCCACCAUUUGUUCCGGCAGCCCCUAGGUGGCUCAAGGCCCCCAGUAUGCCGAGCAGUUCCACGGGUGAGCCGUGGGAUUUCACAAGGCACUUAGGGGCCCGCCUACACACGCUUUAAGCCCAGUGAUUCCGCCUAACGCUCGAGGCCUCUGUAUUACCGCGGCGGCUGGCAC